UGAGAAAUGGGUGAAUGUUGAGAUAAUUGUUGGGAUUCCAUUGUUGAUAAAGGCUAUAAUAUUAGGUAUACAGAAUAUACUAGAAGUUCUCCUCGAGGGUCUAGGAAUCCCCAUAAUGGAAUCUAUAUUUCUAUAUACCAAUAUUACGAUUAUUCCUCAUUCCGUUUUAUAUGUUUCAUUAUCCUAUUACAUUAUCAAUCCUUACACUUCAGCUUCCUCUAACUUCGAUGACAGCUUCUCAUAACUUAUGUCAUCAUCUUAACACCGUAUAUGAUAAUAUAUUGAUAAUAUAACUAUUAGUUGAUAGACGAUAGUGGAUUUUUAUUCCAACACAUU
rnacentral:tRNA from 1 species